CUGUUUUAGGCACAUAGCAUGAAUACAAACUAGCGGUUAAGUUAAAGCUGUCUUUGUCUAAAUUUGUAACUAUAUUAUUGGGGUAAAAUUACAACGAACAACAGAUUAUUGGGUCAAUAAAUGUUUCAGUUCCUCGAAAACAUCAUUCGUGUUGUAAACCAUUGUUUUGUGCAUUUUAUGUAUGUAUAUGGAAGAUGAAUAUCAUUGCUGAGACACUUGGUGCAGAUUACUGCAAUUUCAAAGUAAACUAAACGGUCGCUAUAUGAUUAUAAGAUCUGCCCAAGGACGACCAGACGGGAGGCACGGACUUCGCAAAUGUCCAGAGCUUCCUUUACUGAUAAGGGAAGCUAAAGUGGUGAGGUUAAGAGAUUGGAUUAAACCUACAAGGUCUCACUAUUUGGUAGGAAUAUAUUUACCUAUCAAUGAUAAACUCUUCUCGUGAUUUCAUUUAUCUAGAUUUUCUACAAGA
rnacentral:lncRNA from 1 species